rnacentral:rRNA from 1 species
GACGAACGCUGGCGGCGUGCCUAAUACAUGCAAGUCGAACGAGUGGCGGACGGGUGAGUAACACGUGGGAACCUACCCAUCAGAGUGGGAUAACACUUGGAAACUGGUGCUAAUACCGCAUACUGAUGGAUGAACCCGCGGUGCAUUAGCUAGUUGGUGAGGUAACGGCUCACCUAGGCGACGAUCCCUACGUGGUCUGCGAGGAGGACCAGCUACACUGGAACUGAUACACGGUCCAGACUCCUACGGGAGGCAGCAGUGGGGAAUAUUGCACAAUGGGGGCAAGCCUGAUGCAGCCAUGCCGCGUGUGUGAAGAAGGCCUUCGGGUUGGAAAGCACUUUUAGCGGGGAGGCGUUACCCGCAGAAGAAGCACCGGCUAACUCCGUGCCAGCAGCCGCGGUAAUUC